CUUCAUUUGUUUUUGUACUAAUUGAAUUGAAAAUCACCCAAGUAUCUAGAACAGAGAGCCUUAGGUGUUGUAAAUGGUAGCUAAUAGGUGCAAAAGUGUACUGUGAUGUGUCCCUAGCCUUCUCCAUUAAAUGGACGUGGUUCUGAACCAAGCAAAGGUUGGGGACAAGAAAAUAGAAGGAGAUAGCAAUUGUGGCGUGCAGAGCAUUUUUGUUUCAUACUCUAGGUGCUUUUGGAAAUUAAAGCCAUCACUUGGAGAAGUAGGAAUUAUCAAAGCCAGUUUGUUUCGAGAGGUGAAAANCUUCUAACACGAGUAGCUUCCUGUUCUCAUUGCUCACUAUGGCUUAUUUAAUCAUUGAAGGAUUAUCACCAAAGUGUAAAAAGAGACAUUAAUGUUGAUCUUGUAUUUUUGAAGGAUGUUACAAUUCUUCUUUGCUUUCCAAACAAGAGGUUUUACCAAUAUUCNCAAGGCUUGUUGGUCUUCCAUUGGAAAAGUUUCAAAGAGCACUUGCUCACAAGUAAAAGAAGAAAUGAAUGUGAAGUUGUAGAAAAGUUGAGUGAGAGAGUAUGAAUCUAGUUUGNGAGAUUUGGCACAUUAUACUUAGGUGCUACAUUUUGAAUUAUCCUCUUUGGUUGGAUACUAUUUGGUACCACAUGGAGAUAGUAAUACAAAAGUUUAUGUAAUGUAUUUUUA